rnacentral:rRNA from 1 species
AUUGAACGCUGGCGGCAGGCCUAACACAUGCAAGUCGAGCGGAUGAAGGGAGCUUGCUCCUGGAUUCAGCGGCGGACGGGUGAGUAAUGCCUAGGAAUCUGCCUGGUAGUGGGGGAUAACGUCCGGAAACGGGCGCUAAUACCGCAUACGUCCUGAGGGAGAAAGUGGGGGAUCUUCGGACCUCACGCUAUCAGAUGAGCCUAGGUCGUAUUAGCUAGUUGGGGGGGUAAAGGCCUACCAAGGCGACGAUCCGUAACUGGUCUGAGAGGAUGAUCAGUCACACUGGAACUGAGACACGGUCCAGACUCCUACGGGAGGCAGCAGUGGGGAAUAUUGGACAAUGGGCGAAAGCCUGAUCCAGCCAUGCCGCGUGUGUGAAGAAGGUCUUCGGAUUGUAAAGCACUUUAAGUUGGGAGGAAGGGCAGUAAGUUAAUACCUUGCUGUUUUGACGUUACCAACAGAAUAAGCACCGGCUAACUUCGUG